rnacentral:rRNA from 1 species
AGAGUUUGAUCAUGGCUCAGAACGAACGCUGGCGGCGUGGCUAAGGCAUGCAAGUCGAACGGACCCCUGGAUGGGUAACUUGAAAGGGAGUCAGUGGCGAACGGGUGAGUAAUGAAUGGGUAACGUCCCCCGGACUCAGGGAUAGCGGCGGGCCGAAAGGUCCUUUGCGAAAGUGUCGGUAAUACCUGAUGACCCCGCGUGGUCGCAUGACCGUGCGGGCAAAGCUCCGGCGGUCCGGGAUCGGCCCAUUUCCUAUCAGCUAGUUGGUGAGGUAACGGCUCACCAAGGCUGCGACGGGUACCGGGUGUGAGAGCAUGACCCGGCACAUCGGAACUGAGACACGGUCCGGACACCUACGGGUGGCUGCAGCAACGAAUAUUCCGCAAUGGGCGAAAGCCUGACGGAGCGACGCCGCGUGCAGGAUGAAGUCUUUCGGGAUGUAAACUGCUGUCGGGGGUCAGAAAAACACUGAUCAGCCCCACAGGAAGCCAUGGCUAACUCUGUGCCAGCAGCCGCGGUAAUACAGAGAUGGCAAGCGUUGUUCGGAAUCACUGGGCUUAAAGCGCGUGUAGGCGGAGCGAUGGGUGCCUUGUGAAAUCCCCCGGCUCAACCGGGGAAUGGCUCGGCAAACCGGCGCUCUUGAGGCAGGUAGAGGUAACUGGAACCAUUGGUGGAGCGGUGAAAUGCGUAGAGAUCAAUGGGAACGCCGGUGGCGAAAGCGAGUUACUGGGCCUGUUCUGACGCUGAGACGCGAAAGCGUGGGUAGCAAACAGGAUUAGAUACCCUGGUAGUCCACGCCGUAAACGAU